rnacentral:rRNA from 1 species
UACGUAGGGGGCAAGCGUUGUCCGGAAUCAUUGGGCGUAAAGAGCGCGUAGGCGGCCCAGUAAGUCCGCUCUGAAAGUCAGGGGCUCAACCCCUGGAUGCGGGUGGAUACUGCUGGGCUAGAGUCCGGAAGAGGUGAGUGGAAUUCCUGGUGUAGCGGUGAAAUGCGCGAUAUCAGGAAGAACACCUAUGGCGAAGGCAGCACUCUGGGACGGUACUGACGCUGAGACGCGAAAGCGUGGG